GCGGUGAUGAAAGCAAUGCAUUAGAUUUGAACAGAAUACAAGAGUGAACAGUACAUUGUAAUUUUCCCGAUAAAUUAACAAUACUAUAUGAAUAUCCAACAAUGUUCAUUAGAUAUGACUUGUAAAAUAUUUUAAAAUCAUAACCAUAAAAUGAAUUGUGGAGGUUAGACCAUGUCACAGGAAUUGGAAUUGGAGGUCAAACCAUUGCAGAAAUUUGAGCGCCAUAUCGAAAACUGAGCUUCAUGGAAGGCAAUGUUUGACCCAACCGAAAACUGAGCUUCAUGGAAGGCCAUUUUGCUAUGAAAAUAGUAAGAGUGAAGAAAAAAGCUACCAGGGAGCAAAUCAGAAUCGCCAACCAUUGGAGACGUGGGGCCAGCACUGGGUACAAUCCAGUUGAAAAAGCCGUAACUGUUGCCAAGUAUGCAAACCAGGUGAGCUUUUUAGUUACAAAGAUGAAACAGGUUGUGAACUUAUCAUCCUCCCACUUUCCCAUGAGGCAUAUAAAGGCCACAACAAAUGAGGAGC
rnacentral:rRNA from 1 species